CGAGCGAGCACUUGCCAUUGACUCUUCGGAAGAUCUGGCAAAUGACUGAGCGGCGGACGGGUGAGUAACGCGUGGGUAACCUGCCUCAUACAGGGGAAUAACAGUUAGAAAUGGCUGCUAAUGCCGCAUAAGCGCACAGGACCGCAUGGUCUGGUGUGAAAAACUCCGGUGGUAUGAGAUGGACCCGCGUCUGAUUAGGUAGUUGGCGGGGUAACGGCCCACCAAGCCGACGAUCAGUAGCCGACCUGAGAGGGUGACCGGCCACAUUGGGACUGAGACACGGCCCAGACUCCUACGGGAGGCAGCAGUGGGGAAUAUUGCACAAUGGAGGAAACUCUGAUGCAGCGACGCCGCGUGAAGGAAGAAGUAUCUCGGUAUGUAAACUUCUAUCAGCAGGGAAGAAAAUGACGGUACCUGACUAAGAAGCCCCGGCUAACUACGUGCCAGCAGCCGCGGUAAUACGUAGGGGGCAAGCGUUAUCCGGAUUUACUGGGUGUAAAGGGAGCGUAGACGGACGGGCAAGUCUGAUGUGAAAGCCCGGGGCUUAACCCCGGGACUGCAUUGGAAACUGUCCAUCUUGAGUGCCGGAGAGGUAAGCGGAAUUCCUAGUGUAGCGGUGAAAUGCGU
rnacentral:rRNA from 1 species